AUUUAAUAAACAUUUGUACUUAAGACAGCAGGUGCGUAUAUGCUUAAUUCCCUGCCGAGGUAAUGCGAUAAAAAUAGCUGAACCAUUCAGUUGUUAUAUUCAGCCUCCAUGUCUAGCUCGAUAUGGAGGCUUUUAUUUGCCUAA
rfam:Bacillus sp. MRMR6 scaffold_28, whole genome shotgun sequence.